AUACUUUUCCGCUCUAGAGAUUGCAUUUGCUUUGUUUACAAAAUAGUUUGAAUUUUUCUGUUGAUAUUCCUAUUUGUUCAUUCAGUCGUGGCAUAAUUUCCUUUAAUUCUCUGAAGAUGUUUUUCUGUAGUUCUUUAAGCAUAUUUAUAAUAGCUAUUUGAAGUCUUUAUCUCCUAAAUCUAGCACAUGGGCUGACAUGGAGUCAUUUUCUAUUGAUCAUAUACUUUUCCCUGAGUAUGGGUCAUACUUUCCUGGUCUUUGCAUGUCUAACAAAUUUUUGUUGUUGCUGUUGAAAAAUGGACAUUGUAAAUAAUAUGUUGUAGUGAAUUUGGGUUCUGUUGUUCUUCUGAGGGUGGGUUUUUAAGUUUUAGUUAAGUAAUUAACAACCAAUUAAUUUGGCUACACUCAAACUGAAAAAUCUCUCUCCUCUGUGGUGUGCAGCUGCUAAUGUCUCUGCUCACUUUUUUUCAGUGUGACUUCCUAGGUGCUUCCCCUGUGCUUGCCUAGUUUAGGGGUUAGCCAAUGAUAUGGGCAGACAGUAAGGCUUCCGUUCUCUGCUGCCCAAGCAGUUUGUGGUUUGAGAAGAGUGUUCAAAGGCACAGCAUGUUUAUGUCUUGCUUACAUUUUUUGCCGAAUUCUCUGAUGUUUCUAACACAUCUGUAGUUUAGCAGUCGGCCAGGGAAUGUGUGAAGAGUUUGUUAUUUCAGCCCAACUAUGGCUCUCUGGCUGCUGAGAUCUCUCUGCUGUGUAUCUACCGGCUCUGGAACACACCACAGGCUAAGUUCUCCUCUUCUAGUAAGGAAAGCUGUGGUUUAUACCGCCUGACGUGGGGGUAAUAGCAGUAUUCCUUGGCAAUAAGGCCAUGAACAUGCCAUUCUUAUUAGAUGCAUUAGCAAUUCUUCAUGAAUAAAUUAUUUCUCAAGUUGUUGCUUGACUUUUGAUGUUUUCCACUGAGCUAAAAUGGUUGAUUUUAUAAUUUUGUCUAGUUUUAUACUUGUUUUCUCCUGAAAGGAAUCCCCCAACUUUCUCACACCAUCAUUAUUGGAAAUAGUGCUUGUACAGACAUUUUUAAAGUUAUUUCUUUAGUUAUUUUAAGACACAUUUUAUGACCAAUGCUAUUGAUAGUACAUGAGGCAAUAGAGUGUGGAAAAAUACAGACACCAACAUCCCUAAGGCAUUCGGAAGGGCUGCAAUCUGAAUGAGAAGUUUAAGAUUUAUCUUGAUUUUGUAGUUAUUUUCUUGUUUUUUUUCUGUGCCCAAGAGUGAUCUAUAAAAUUAAUCUAUGCUGUGUCUAAAUGCUUCUGAAAUUUUUUUCUUUAGGAUAAAACCCAAGAGUGGCAUUGCUACGUGGAAAAUAUGAAUUUAAAAAUGUAUUUAGCUAUAUAUUAAGAUAGGCUUGAAUUUAAGCAUCUCGCCCAAAUUCAUUUGAUCGCUGUAUUUGGUAAUGUGACACUUUUACCUCCUGAUCACCUCCUGCUUUCUUCAGCCAUUCAUCUACACAGAAAAUAUUUAUCAAGUGUUUACUACGUGCUUGAGACUGCAAUAUGCUGGGAGGGCAAAAAUGUGCAGAACACAGUCCUUUCUGGUCUGGGAGCUGAUGAGUUAGUGACUGGAGCAGAUAAACCAAUUGCUAUGAAAUAUAUAUGCUCUACAUAUGUACGGUGACAGGUGAAAACUAGACUGUUGUUGAACACGAUGCAGUCCAUACGGAAACUGAUACAUAGUAACAUACACCUGAAACUGCACAAUGUUGUAAGCCAAUAUGCCCUCGAUAAAAUAAUUUUUGAAAAAAGACUGUAUAAAUUGCUUUAGUGUUUUCCUAUUUGAGGACAUUUGAGUUGUUUGGUUUGGUUUGGUUUUCCUUGGGUAUUAUUUCUUUGGAAAUAUUCCUAACAGUGGAAUUAUCGAGGUCAAAAAUAUGAAUAAUGCUAUAGCUGUCACUGUAACCAUUGACCGAUUGCUUUCCAGGGGAAAAGUAACCAAUUUAAAAAGCUACCAGUAAUGUUCAAAUAUUGUUGUCCUGAUCUCCACACCACUCCCACUAACAUAGAGUUAUAUCACAUUUUUCUUUGUUUUUGCUGGUCUGAUAGGUAUAUAUAGUGCAAAGCUUGUUAGAAUAUGGUUUUCAUCACUGGUAAGGCUGAACAUUAUUCCUUAUGAUGACUCUACUUUUCUAAAUGCAUAAAGACCACUUAUUGAGCAACAAAAUAUAUAUAUAUAUAUAUGACCUAGAGCAGAGGCUUCACUAAGUGCUCUGAGCCCACAGAAUAGGCAGUUCUAAUUUGUCCUGAGUCAGGGGGGAUGGUCACAUCCGAGGUGGAUCUUAGAGUUUUAAUUGCUGUUAUCAAGUGAAGGGCAAGGUCAACAGGAAGACGUUCCCAGAAGAGGGAAUAGUGUGUGUAGAAACACAAAGGCAUAAAUUGGGUGGCAGAAGAUAGAAUUGGCAAGGUAGUUUGAAGUAAGAAAGUGAGAACACUUUCGUUUGACAUUUAUGUGCAGCAACCUGAAUCAGGGUAUGGGUGUGUGGAACCUGCUGAUGGGGCUGAAAGAGAAGAGAGAGGAAUCAGUUAGUAAAGAUGCUUAAGACUCAAAAGUGAGGCCAAUUAGUUCUCCAACACUGUUGGAAACAGGCAGGCUAUUGUAUUGUGUGGUACUGAGAUACCUAUGGAGUGCCUAGCAUGAGUUGUAAGCCUUAAAAAGGAAGGGUCAAGGAAGUCUUCUGUUUAUCCCUCUGUGGUGUUCAUAUUAUCUAUAAUGAGGUAAUCAGAUAAUGAGAUAACCAGAGUAGCCUGGACAUGUGCCCACACUGACUGCCCACUGGAAAGAGAGCCUAAGGACUUUCAGUAUUAAACGACUGAAAGCACAGGUUCGCUUCCAGGUUCGAAUUCGCUCAGGAGAAGCUAAACUGUUAUAGCGGGAACGAAGCUCAGUAUACAAACCCAGAGGUGCAAAGCAUAUCAGAUUUCUUAAUUUCCUUGAAAUCUAAUUGCAUCUGACUCAAAGUCUCCAAUCGAUCUUCUGGUGGGAAAUUAAGCCUUGGUUAUUAUUGGAGUUCCUCUCCUCAAGAACACACAAAGGUCCAAGGUCACCCAGUGCUGAAGCAUUGGGGAAGGGCUUCCGGUCAAUGGUUGCUAGUUGCUGUCUGCUGGGUGCCCAGUCUCCACGAGUUUGUCCCUUCAGGACCACUGCCCAGCUGUCUCCAUGCUACAUGCAGAACAUAGAGAAAGUUUCCAAGACUCUAGACUUCACUGCUUGGGGUCCAACCUCUUUAGGUAUACCACAGUGGGAGCACAUUACAUUAGGAGAAGCAUCCAGUAUAGAGAUGGAGAAUCAAAUAAGGCUUCUUGGAAGAAGUGCUGUUUCUGCUAAAGCAUUCUGCUUUGUUUAUUAUUAUUCUCCCUUCUUCUCUUAAACCUUCCAGUUAAAUAAUUUUUCACUUUUCUCCUCCUCAUCCUGUCACACCUGCUUCUGUUCUCUCUUGAGUAGCCUGGCUCACUGCCUCUCCCUGGCUCUUCAUCUUGCUGAUGUCUUUCCUACAGAGAUGCAAUAAACACCUACACAAUGCAAGCAAUACAAUUUCCCAUUGGAAAAAGCGUUACAAAGGAGUUAGGAAGGAGGGUAAGUAUAUGUUCUCUUCGUUUAGGCUCUCUGAGUAUAUGAUCUUCUUCCUACUGGUCUUAGGUAUCCAUCUUUCCCAGAGGUAGAUUAGGACUCGGAUAGAGGGAAUGUAAAGGAGAAGAAGGGAGUGAGAUAGGACGAUGAGAAAGGCAGACUGCCUUUUCAUUUUCUCCCCACCUCUUGAGGCUGUGACAAUCAAGAAUCCCAGGGUCUUUGCUUUCAGCAUGUGGUCCAACAAGUCAUUCCCUGUUUCCUCGCCAUACACUCAGAUGCCACUGGAGAGAAGAGCUGGAGAGGCAGGCAGGAGAUUGAGUAAUCUGAGGCCAUGGGUAUUCAGAUUUCCAUACAGAGACUAAGUAUUCCCUAAAGGGACAAUUUUGAUUACUGUACCGGAGUCAACUAAAUCUAGGCAGAUUUUCUUCCUAAUUAACCAUUGGGUAGGGGCUUAUGAGGAACACUGGCUCAGUAAGGCAUAAAAUAAAUAAUCUUUAUUUUCUCUCAUAUCUGAGUGUACUGUGAGUAGAUUUCCACCCUCAUAUGCCACACAGAGGAGGAAUAGGAGAUAGAGGGAGGGAAUUUUACAGGUUGUAGCACAAACAAAGGCAGAGGCAAGAAAGUUUGAGAUAUGUUUGGAGGAUAGUGUGCAAUCCAAUUUGACUGAAAUGUUGGUUAUGUGUGGGGCAAUAAUAUGGCGAACAUGGGUCCAGAAAGUUGGGGCUAAAUUCUCGAGGGCUUUGCACACUGGAGUGAGAAAUUUUUAGAUAGAUCAAUGAGAGCUGAGCAUCAUCAAGAGAUUUAGGAGAGAGGGAUGCUAUUAUGGGACAACUCCUCAUCUAUUAGGUUGAAUAAUUCAAUUUUUUUGAACUACAAAAAUAGUGUCCUUAUAUGGUUCCACCUAACAUUUAAGGCAACUAUCUUGAGGUCCUGUAACAUUAUGACUGAUUUUCACUUGUUGACUCAGAACCCACCAGCAGGACCCUCCUCAUGGGCAAGUUUUCAUUAAACUAAUUCUUUAAUUAUUUGUCCUACCAUUUACUAAUCCUCUUAGUUAUCUUUCUAUAGAUACAUAUUUCUUACUUUUUUUUUUCUCUACGAGAUAUCAUUGAAAGUCAUUGUCAAAUGCUUUGAUAAAAUCUGUUUUAGUGCAGUAACCCUGUCAGUGAAGGGAACAAGGUUAAUCUGACAUGACGUGCUCUUGGUGAACCAGUUCUGUUUCUUCGUGAUCAUCAUUUCCUCCUGUCGGUAUUUCUAAACCGCCCUGUAAAUAUCCAUUCUUUGAACUUGCCCAGGUAUAACAUCAAGCUAGCCUGACUAUUUUCAGAAUCCCUUGUCUCUGAGUUUUUGAAAAUUCUCCCACUUUCUACAACAGAAGUACUUUACCACAUAUUAAAAAAAAUAUAUUACUGAGCCUCAAAACUUUUCAGAGAUUAUGGUCCUAUAGUACGAACUUUGAGAAGAAGUGCUAUCAUUUUCAGAUAUCCAGUUUCAAGAGGAGAGAUGGACUACUUAUUUUUAAGUCAGGAAUUGAUAAUUUGCCGUGAAUAUGUUUACAAUAAUAAAAGAGGCACAAAGUGAUAAUACAUAUAGAAUUUCUCCUAACGAAUUGCAUUCUAAUUAAAUUUUGGACCUGUAUUAUCCUGUGUGCUUUUAAUAAUUACAAACUCUCUGGAUAAGAAUAUGUUUUUUAAAUGGAUUAUUACUGUUUCUCCUGACUCUUGGUACUGCAUUUUAGUUAUUUGUGCAAAAACAAUUAUAGGACUGGGUGCUUUAAAGUGAAUGGGAAUUUGUUCUCAGUUCUGUAUUGAAGACCUUUUUUACUGUCUUGUGGGUGAAAGUAGGUUGGUGGUGCACGCUAAAUUUCAAGGUCAGGAGUUAUGGUUGGAAAACCAACCCUAAUAGAAGUUCAGGAAUUCUAAGGCUCAAUUGUAUACAUUUACAGCUGUGAGUUAUGGAGCAAUAAGACCUAAACCAUCAAGAUGGGGAAAAGGGAGUACGUUGCAUAGGAGUAAACAGAUAUAAUUGGAUAGUAACUCCUUCCAGUGAGUGGGGCUUAGUGCAAACAGCCCAGGCUUGGACUCAGAAGCCCUGGGUUUGAGUUCUGCCUCUUUUACUUACCGGCUGUCUGUCCUUGCACAAAUUGUGAGGUCCCUGUGUGCCACAGGUCUUCACCUAUAAAAUUCAGACACAGAUUGCUCCCAGGUGGGUGAUUAUUAACACUAGCUGGAAUAAUGUAUUUUAAAGCAUUUAUAAAUAUCAGAACACUGUAGAAUAAAAGGAAGCUUCAGUCUUAUUUUUAAGGUAACAUGUUUGAAAAAGUGUCAACUAGCAACCCUUCUGGGCUUCAUUUUUGAGGUGCCCAGGAUACCUAAAUUCAAAGGGCUGAACCUAAGUAGAGUUAGGAAGUUAAAUCUGUUCCAAAAAGUCACACUGUCUCACAAAGUCCUGUCAGUGCUACUGUUGCAAAGCACUGUGUGUCAUAGUAGCCUUUUCUAGAAAUGCAUGCAGUUUCUCACGGUUUUCUCUUUUCUUCUAGAGCAGUGGUUCUGAAAGAGUGGUCCCCGGACCAACGGCAUCAGCAUCACCAGGCUGCCUGUUGGAAAUGCACGUUCUUGGACCCAGACUAACCAUUUUAGAAACGUCAAGAAUUUCUUUCUAUGUUUUAACAAGCCCUCCAGGUCACCUGCUGCACACUAAAAUUAGAGAAUAAUCGUUCUAGAGAAAUCCUAAAUUACGUGACAGGGGUUCUUAAACAAAUGCCAUCUUUAAUGAUUUCAAGUAAAAAUUAAUGUAUAGAUUAACUACUAAAUGCCAAGUACUUUCUAUUAUUAUAUUUAUAUUUAGUUUUCUGACAUGUGAAUUAUCAUCUCAUUUUAUAGAUGAAGAAAUUAAAGUUCAGAAAAGUGAGCAGUUCGGAAUCCAGGGCUCUGUCCACUAGCCUGAGUGUUUGCCAGACACUAAAACAGGAGUCAGUAAAUGGCAGCCAUUGGCCACAUCCAGCCUGCCACCUGUGUUUCCUAAGCAGCAGACAUUGCAGAGAAGCAGCCUUGGAGAAGGCCCAGUCCCGGACGUGUCUGCCCGCCUCCCUGAGAGACCCUGGAAAGAGCUGCCUGACUGAGCCCUGGCAACCCCCAGAUUUGGAC